AUUGAACGCUGGCGGCAUGCCUUACACAUGCAAGUCGAACGGCAGCACGGGUGCUUGCCCCUGGUGGCGAGUGGCGAACGGGUGAGUAAUACAUCGGAACAUGUCCUGUAGUGGGGGAUAGCCCGGCGAAAGCCGGAUUAAUACCGCAUACGAUCUACGGAUGAAAGCGGGGGACCUUCGGGCCUCGCGCUAUCGGGUUGGCCGAUGGCUGAUUAGCUAGUUGGUGGGGUAAAGGCCUACCAAGGCGACGAUCAGUAGCUGGUCUGAGAGGACGACCAGCCACACUGGAACUGAGACACGGCCCAGACUCCUACGGGAGGCAGCAGUGGGGAAUUUUGGACAAUGGGCGAAAGCCUGAUCCAGCAAUGCCGCGUGUGUGAAGAAGGCCUUCGGGUUGUAAAGCACUUUUGUCCGGAAAGAAAUCCUUGGCCCUAAUACGGUCGGGGGAUGACGGUACCGGAAGAAUAAGCACCGGCUAACUACGUG
rnacentral:rRNA from 1 species